rnacentral:rRNA from 1 species
AUUGAACGCUGGCGGCAGGCCUAACACCUGCAAGUCGCGCGAGCGGCGGACGGGUGAGUAAUGUAUGGGGACUGCCCGAUAGAGGGGGAUAACUACUGGAAACGGUAGCUAAUACCGCAUAAAAUCGGAUAACACAUAUGGGAUUAGCGAGUAGGUGAGGUAAUGGCCCACCUAGGCGACGAUCCCUAGCUGGUCUGAGAGGAUGAUCAGCCCCACGGGGACUGAGACACGUCCCGUACGCCUACGGAGGCAGCAGUGGGGAAUAGUGCACAUGGGGCGCAAGCCUGAUGCAGCCAUGCCGCGUGUAUGAAGAAGGCCCUAGGGUUGUAAAGUAUUUUCAGUCGGGAGGCGUGACCGACAGAAGAAGCACCGGCUAACUCCGUGCCAGCAGCCGCGGUAAUAC